UACGGAGGGAGCUAGCGUUGUUCGGAAUUUCUGGGCGUAAAGCGCGCGUAGGCGGCUUUGUAAGUUAGAGGUGAAAGCCCAGGGCUUAACCCUGGAAUUGCCUUUAAGACUGCAUCGCUAGAAUCGUGGAGAGGUGAGUGGAAUUCCGAGUGUAGAGGUGAAAUUCGUAGAUAUUCGGAAGAACACCAGUGGCGAAGGCGACUCACUGGACACGUAUUGACGCUGAGGUGCGAAAGCGUGGGGAGCAAACAGG
rnacentral:rRNA from 1 species